GGAGGCCCCAAGCGUUGUUCGGAUUUACUGGGCGUAAAGCGUGCGUAGGCGGCAUGAUAAGUUUGGCGUGAAAUCCCCGGGCCUAACCCGGAAAUUGCGCUGGAAACUAUCAAGCUAGAGGUGUGGAGGGGAGUAUGGAAUUCCCGGUGUAGCAGUGAAAUGCGUAGAUAUCGGGAGGAACACCAGUGGCGAAGGCGAUACUCUGGACACAUUCUGACGCUGAGGUACGAAGGCUAGGGGAGCGAAGAGGAUUAGAUACCCUCGUAGUCCUAGCAGUAAACGGUGUGCACUUGCUGUAGGGCGGUUCGACCCGCUCUGUGGCGGAGCUAACGCGUUAAGUGCACCGCCUGGGGAGUACGGCCGCAAGGUUAAAACUCAAAGAAAUUGACGGGGGCCUGCACAAGCGGUGGAGCAUGUGGCUUAAUUCGAUGCAACGCGAAGAACCUUACCUGGGCUUGACAUGUUUGUCGUCGUCCCGUGAAAGCGGGACAUCAGUUCGGCUGGACAAUCACAGGUGCUGCAUGGCUGUCGUCAGCUCGUGUCGUGAGAUGUUGGUUUAAGUACCGCAACGAGCGCAACCCCUGUGUCCUGUUGCCACGGAGAACACGUUUCUCCAGCACUCUGGACAGACUGCCUCAUUUGAAUGAGGAGGAAGGUGGGGAUGACGUCAAGUCAGUAUGGCCCUUACGCCCAGGGCUGCACACGUGCUACAAUGCCUAGUACAAUGGGAAGCGAAAUCGCGAGAUGGAGCAAAUCCCCAAAACUAGGCUCAGUUCGGAUUGGAGUCUGCAACUCGACUCCAUGAAGUUGGAAUCGCUAGUAACGGCGCAUCAGCUACGGCGCCGUGAAUACGUUCCCAGGCCUU
rnacentral:rRNA from 1 species